GGAAACCGGAGCUAAUACCGGAUAAUAUUUUGAACCGCAUGGUUCAAAAGUGAAAGACGGUCUUGCUGUCACUUAUAGAUGGAUCCGCGCUGCAUUAGCUAGUUUGUAAGGUAACGGCUUACCAAGGCAAUGAUGCAUAGCCGACCUGAGAGGGUGAUCGGCCACACUGGAACUGAGACACGGUCCAG
rnacentral:rRNA from 1 species